rnacentral:rRNA from 1 species
CGGACGGGUGAGUAACGCAUAGGAAUUUACCCGAUAGUGGGGGAUAACCUGGGGAAACUCAGGCUAAUACCGCAUACGUCCUACGGGAGAAAGGGGGCCUUGGCUCCCGCUAUCGGAUGAGCCUAUGCCGGAUUAGCUGGUUGGUGAGGUAAUGGCUCACCAAGGCGACGAUCCGUAGCUGGUCUGAGAGGAUGAUCAGCCACACCGGGACUGAGACACGGCCCGGACUCCUACGGGAGGCAGCAGUGGGGAAUAUUGGACAAUGGGGGCAACCCUGAUCCAGCCAUGCCGCGUGUGUGAAGAAGGCUUUCGGGUUGUAAAGCACUUUCAGUCGGGAGGAAAGGCCAGUAGUUAAUACCUGCUGGAGUUGACGUUACCGACAGAAGAAGCACCGGCUAACUCCGUGCCAGCAGCCGCGGUAAUACGGAGGGUGCAAGCGUUAAUCGGAAUUACUGGGCGUAAAGCGCGCGUAGGUGGCUUGAUAAGCCGGUUGUGAAAGCCCCGGGCUCAACCUGGGAACAGCAUCCGGAACUGUCAGGCUAGAGUGCAGGAGAGGAAGGUAGAAUUCCCGGUGUAGCGGUGAAAUGCGUAGAGAUCGGGAGGAAUACCAGUGGCGAAGGCGGCCUUCUGGACUGACACUGACACUGAGGUGCGAAAGCGUGGGUAGCAAACAGGAUUAGAUACCCUGGUAGUCCACGCCGUAAACGAUGUCGACCAGCCGUUGGGUGCCUCGCGCACUUAGUGGCGAAGUUAACGCGAUAAGUCGACCGCCUGGGGAGUACGGCCGCAAGGUUAAAACUCAAAUGAAUUGACGGGGGCCCGCACAAGCGGUGGAGCAUGUGGUUUAAUUCGAUGCAACGCGAAGAACCUUACC